AGACCACCACGGCACCAGCAGCACCACCCAGUUAACCACCACGCCUCUCUCUCUCUCUCUCUUACCGGGAAGCAAGCAACCGCCUCCGCCGCGCCGUCUCGGGCUCGCUUGGUGCAGAUCGGGACCCGCCGCCCGGCCGACGGGACGGAUCCCGCCUUGCAUCAAGUGAAUCGGAGCCGGCGCAGCGAUACAGCGACCGACCCCCGCCGCCGUCCGCCACCUGCGCUGCUCUUGAGUACCCCCCAUGCCGUGGCCUGCUUGUUGCGUGUUUUUUUGUUUUUCUGAUACGGGUCGUGCGCGUGUUGCUGUGGUUCUGUCUUGUGUGACGCCGUGGGAAUUAUUAGGCGUCGUGGGGGGUGAGGGGGUCUCUGCUCUAGAUUAAACAACCCGGAUCUGGAUCUGACGCGUGGUUUCCGUAGUUUGAUCCGACGUAGUCUGGGUGACUACGUUCUGGUGGUUUACCAUGAUCCAUCCCUAUAUCCGCUAGACUCUGCUAGUCUGCUUUAGGGGGUGUUUGGUUUCUAGGGACUAAUUUUUAGUCACUACAUUUUAUUCCACUUUAGUUACAAAAUUACCAAAUGUAGAAACUAAAACUCUAUUUUAGUUUCUAUAUUUGUCAAUUUAUAUACUAAAAUGAAACAAAAUGAAGGGACUAAAUAUUAGUCCCUAGAAACCAAACAUGACCUUAAUUUCCAACUGCAAUUUUCUUCUGUUCUGGUGGUGGUGUCAGGGAGGCAGGCGGCUUGGAUUUGCCUGCGGGGUUGUAGGGCGGUCAUGUUGAUGCAGCCCCUGUCCUUGGUCACGGGGGAAACCAUGCCAGGCUGGACUGAACUGCAGAGAGAUUAAUUGAUUUGACUGCCUUUGUUGCUAGGGAUGUAUACCACUACGAGCUCUGUAAGGUAGUAGAAAUUAUGGGGCAGCAACAGCAAGCAUGCUCACAUGAUGCUUGUGAAUUAUGGUCAGCAUGGUUUCUGUGACAGAUGCUAAUCAUGAAAACUGGGGUCGACCUGAUUGAUUCUCAGACGCCAUCAAUUAUAGGUUUGUGUUAAGUAAACUAGUUUUUUUUAACAAGGGGCAUAACCCCGCACCUUAUUACCAAGAUACGUAAGCCUAAUCCUGGAUCAAUUAGGCUACUGAUUUGGGCUUCGCCUUUUUUUUGAAUUCUUGUGGACCUACUCCAUGUCUGUAUAUGGAUGGGAAAUGUACAGGUUGUUUGCUGUGAACAACUUUGCCUUGUCUGAAAUGGUGUCUGUACUGUAAUACUUUCCUGAUGAACGAAUAUAACCAUGUGAGGUGUGGUGAUGUUAGCGGAA
rnacentral:precursor_RNA from 1 species